rnacentral:rRNA from 1 species
GGGAGCGCCAGGGGAACUGCAAGUUGGGUGUUUAAUCUACGGGCUCAACCCGUAUCAGCAUUCAAAACUGUGGUUCUUGAGUAAUGCAGAGGUAGGCGGAAUUCCCGGUGUAGCGGUGGAAUGCGUAGAUUUCGGGAGGAACACCAGUGGGGAAGGCGGCCUACUGGGCAUCAACUGACGCUGAGGCUCGAAAGCAUGGGUAGCAAACAGGAUUAGAUACCCUGGUAGUCCAUGCUGUAAACGAUGAUUACUAGGUGUGGGAAGAUUGACCCUUUCCGUGCCGCAGUUAACACAAUAAGUAAUCCACCUGGGGAGUACGACCGCAAGGUUGAAACUCAAAGGAAUUGACGGGGGCCCGCACAAGCAGUGGAGUAUGUGGUUUAAUUCGAAGCAACGCGAAGAACCUUACCAGGUCUUGACAUCCAACGACCGCCUAAGAGAUUAGGCUUUCCUUCGGGACGUUGAGACAGGUGGUGCAUGGUUGUCGUCAGCUCGUGUCGUGAGAUGUUGGGUUAAGUCCCGCAACGAGCGCAACCCUUAUUACUAGUUACUACGCAAGAGGACUCUAGUGAGACUGCCGUUGACAAAACGGAGGAAGGUGGGGAUGACGUCAAAUCAUCAUGCCCUUUAUGACCUGGGCUACACACGUACUACAAUGGCUAUUAACAGAGAGAAGCGAGACCGCAAGGUGGAGCAAACCUCAGAAAAAUAGUCUCAGUCCGGAUUGGGGGCUGCAACCCGCCCCCAUGAAGCCGGAAUUGCUAGUAAUCGCGGAUCAGCAUGCCGCGGUGAAUACGUUCCCGGGCCUUGUACACACCGCCCGUCACACCAUGAGAGCCGGGGGGACCCGAAGUCGGUAGUCUAACCGCAAGGAGGACGCCGCCGAAGGUAAAACUGGUGAUUGGGGUGAAGUCGUAACAAGGUAACCGUAAAGGGCGAAUU